AUUGAACGCUGGCGGCAGGCCUAACACAUGCAAGUCGAGCGGAGCGGCGGACGGGGGAGUAAUGCCUAUGUAUCUGCCUCGUAGUGGGGGAUAACGUUCGGAACCGGGCGCUAAUACCGCAUACUCUCAGCUGAGCCUAGGUCGGAUUAGCUAGUUGGUGGGGUAAAGGCUUACCAAGGCGACGACCCGUAACUGGUCUGAGAGGAUGAUCAGUCACACUGGAACUGAGACACGGUCCAGACUCCUACGGGAGGCAGCAGUGGGGAAUAUUGGACAAUGGGCGAAAGCCUGAUCCAGCCAUGCCGCGUGUGUGAAGAAGGUCUUCGGAUUGUAAAGCACUUUAAGUUGGGAGGCGUUACCAACAGAAUAAGCACCGGCUAACUUCGUGCCAGCAGCCGCGGUAAUUC
rnacentral:rRNA from 1 species